CCUACGGGAGGCUGCAGUAAGGAAUAUUGGUCAAUGGACGCAAGUCUGAACCAGCCAUGCCGCGUGAAGGAUGAAGGUCCUCUGGAUUGUAAACUUCUUUUAUAGGGGACGAAAUCAACAUUUCCAUGUUGUCUGACGGUACCCUAGGAAUAAGCACCGGCUAACUCCGUGCCAGCAGCCGCGGUAAUACGGAGGGUGCAAGCGUUAUCCGGAUUCACUGGGUUUAAAGGGAGCGUAGGAGGGCAGGUAAGUCAGUGGUGAAAUCUUUGGGCUUA
rnacentral:rRNA from 1 species